UAUUUAUUUGUAGUGUUAAGAGUUAUAGUUGAAGUAUCAUUUUAGUUGUUGUAAUUUUUUGAUUUAAUUUUUUAUACGAUAGAUUAUUUGUACUGUAAGGGGUUGUGAUGUUUUAAUGUUUUUUAAGAAGUUGAUUUUGUUUAUCGUACCUUGUGUAUCAGGGUUCAUUGAAUUUUAUUAUUUAUUUUUGUUUCCCGAUUUUAAUGGAGUUAAUGAUUUAUUUUAGUUGUUGUUUCAACAAUAUUAAUAAUAGGUUAUUGGUAAUGAAAUGUUAUUCGUCUUUAAUGGUUUCUGGUUUUUCAAGAAAUGAAUUUAAUUCAUACAUCUUAUUUAAUUUCUGUUGUUUAAAUAUCUUUUUUAUUUGAUGUUAAGAUUAAGGGGGAUUAGCUCCUUGUUUUAUUUUUAUAAUUAUCUUUUUUAUUUAGUUUUGUGGAUUUUAUGGUGAUUUUCAAUUUGAUUAUGUUAAAAUUUUAUUUUUUCUUUUAUUUAUUUAUUGUAGUUUAAUUUGUUUAUUGGAAUGUUUUCUUUAUCUUUGGUUUGUAUAGUAAUUAUUGUGUAAUUAGUAAAUCUUGCUUUUCUACAGUGUAGCGUUCGAUGUUAAUUUCUUUUUAGGAAUUAGGCAAAAUUUUCGUGUCCGCCUGUUUAACAAAAACAUCUUUUCUCGUUAGUUUUUGAAGUAUAGCCUGCCCACUGACAGCGAGUUGAAGGGCCGCGGUAUUUUGACCGUGCAAAGGUAGCAUAAUCAUUAGUUCUUUAAUUGUGAUCUGGUAUGAAUGGCUUGACGAGACACGAGCUGUCUUAAUAGAAUUGUUUAUUGAAUUUGGUCUUUAAGUUAAAAUACUUAAAUGUUUUUAUGGGACGAGAAGACCCUAUAGAGUUUGACAAUUUGCUUAUUUUAUAUUUUAUUAGUUUGUUUCUAUUUAUUUAAUAGGUUAUAUUGUUUUGUUGGGGUGAUGGGAGGAAUAAUUCUAACUCCUCUUUGUUUAGUAUAUUUAUAUAUAUUAUUUUGAUCCAUUAAUUUUGAUUAUAAGAUUAAAUUACCUUAGGGAUAACAGCGUUAUCUUCCUUGAGAGUUCUUAUUGGCAGGAAGGUUUGCGACCUCGAUGUUGGAUUAAGGUGAAUUUUCGGUGCAGGAGCUGAAAUGAUUAGGUCUGUUCGACCUUUAAAAUCUUACAUGAUCUGAGUUCAGACCGGCGUGAGCCAGGUUGGUUUCUAUCUAUUAUAAUGUUUUAUGUCUUAGUACGAGAGGACCGGGCAUUAAGAAUAAUUUUGGUUUAUUAUUUGAUUUUUAUUAAUAUGGUUUACUAUUUUGGCAGAUAAGUGCAUUGGAUUUAGAAUCUAUAAAUGCAAGGAUUA
rnacentral:rRNA from 1 species